CCUACGGGAGGCAGCAGUGAGGAAUAUUGGUCAAUGGACGAGAGUCUGAACCAGCCAAGUAGCGUGAAGGAUGACUGCCCUAUGGGUUGUAAACUUCUUUUAUAUGGGAAUAAAAUGUUCCACGUGUGGGAUUUUGUAUGUACCAUAUGAAUAAGGAUCGGCUAACUCCGUGCCAGCAGCCGCGGUAAUACGGAGGAUCCGAGCGUUAUCCGGUUUUAUUGGGUUUAAAGGGAGCGUAGGUGGAUUGUUAAGUUAGUUGUGAAAGUUUGCGGCUCAACCGUAAAAUUGCAGUUGAAACUGGCAGUCUUGAGUACAGUAGAGGUGGGCGGAAUUCGUGGUGUAGCGGUGAAAUGCUUAGAUAUAACGAAGAACUCCGAUUGCGAAGGCAGUUCACUGGACUGCAACUGACACUGAGGCUCGAAAGUGUGGGUAUCAAACAGGAUUAGAUACCCCUGUAGUC
rnacentral:rRNA from 1 species